rfam:Picea glauca, whole genome shotgun sequence.
ACAUGCCUAUAACAUAACGUUAAUGCACUGGAUCUCAUUAGAACUUCACAGUUAAGUGCACUCAGGAUAUAGUAGUACUGGGAUGGGUGAUCGCCUAGGAAGUCUUAGUGUUUUACAUGCC